GGCCCUUUGGACAAAACUACUUCACACCCAGGCUUCCUUAGAAUCUUCUCCCUUUUCACCUCCACCCUCUACCUUGCCAACUCUCUCUGUCUCCAAGGCACCUGUGGAUAUACCCAGCCUUACUGAGCUGUCACUCUUCUACGUAAGAUUUUCAGCUGCCACCCCCCCCCCCCAAGAUGGGGCCGCGGGAGCCAAGAAGAACGGAGAAGGGUUCAAUAGCAAUACACUCUAAACUCCCCCCAGAGAACACCAACAAAAAGCAGAUCUUCUGUUCUGCUGAAGUCAGCAGAGAGAGCCACUGAACAGAGAAGUAAUACUCAUCAAGCUGAAGCCAAGGUAAAUAUUGACCUUCUGGCAUGAUAAAUCCUCCUGUUAAUCUAAAACAGAAAUCUUCCCCUCCCCCCGCCCAGUGCCCUAUUGCACACAGAUUCUCCGGUUCCCCCCAGAAGUUCAGGGAGGCCGCAUAGGAACGGAGAGGUUUUCACAUUGAUUUCUCCAGCAGCCCGUAAUCCCAGCUGUUCCAGAUCCCAAGACAGCACAGAAAUGGGCAGGGUUGACUCCAGGUCGCAGGACGGUCACAGCAGAAGGGCUUCUUCGUUCUGCUCCAAGCUUUUUGUCCUUGGGCCGGGGCAGAGUGGGAGCCAAACAUGGACGUUCUGCAAGAUGCGAACCCCGAAUUUUUCUUCUUUCCCCCGCACACCCCCACAGGUGUCCACCCGGGCCCUAUAAACAGGAACGCUGCUUUGCCCAGCACACCUGCAAGUGUAAGCCUACCUGUUUCCCCCAAAACCGGCAGUGAGAUAGAUGUUCAGAAGACGGCGAAUUUGACGGCUGCCACAACAGCCCAUGAUCUUAAACAGAAGUUUGAAGAGGUGGGGGAGGGGGGGGUGGAGUGUCAAAAACAAAACCUAAAAAACACUAAAAAAAAAAAGUAGGGAGUGUGCCCAAUCACCCACGCUAAAAGCCCAACUUGUAUGGUGAUAAGUUUGCUCCCUAAUGUGGCCACAGCCCAGCAAAUGCUUCCCAAAGAGCUUAAAGAGACGGUUCAAUGAUAAACAAAGGAAGGCCAUG